rnacentral:rRNA from 1 species
CGGGGAGUCGUAACACAGGUGCUGCAUGGCUGUCGUCAGCUCGUGUCGUGAGAUGUUCGGUUAAGUCCGCUAACGAGCGCAACCCUCGCUGUGUGUUACAAGUGUCACACGGUACUGCCGGUCUUAAGCCGGAGGAAGGUGGGGAUGACGUCAAGUCAGCAUGGCCUUUAUGUCCUGGGCUACACACACGCUACAAUGGCCAACACAAUAGGUUGCUAAGCCGCGAGGUGGAGCCAAUCCUCAAAGUUGGUCUCAGUUCAGAUUGCAGGCUGCAACCCGCCUGCAUGAAGAUGGAGUUGCUAGUAACCGCAGGUCAGCUAUACUGCGGUGAAUACGUUCCCGGGGCUU